CCCUUAGAUGUUCUGGGCCGCACGCGUGCUACACUGAGUGGAUCAGCGGGUCAGGUGGCGCGAAAGCGUUUCCUAAUCUUUAAAUCCGCUCGUGAUGGGGAUUGACGGUUGCAAUUUUCUGUCAUGAACGAGGAAUACCUUGUAAGCGCGGGUCAUCAUCCCGCGCUGAAUACGUCCCUGCCCUUUGUACACACCGCCCGUCGCUCCUACCGAUUGAGUGGUCCGGUGAGGCUUUGGGAUCUGAGCGGAAAGAGCGUUUCGCUGUUUCUGCUCGGAAAACUCAGUCGAACCUUAUCAUUUAGAGGAAGGAGAAGUCGUAACA
rnacentral:rRNA from 1 species